CCUACGGGACGCAGCAGUGGGGAAUAUUGCACAAUGGGGGGAACCCUGAUGCAGCGACGCCGCGUGGGUGAAGGAGCACCUCGGUGCGUAAAGCCCUAUCGGCAGGGAAGAAACAGACGGUACCUGACUAAGAAGCCCCGGCUAACUACGUGCCAGCAGCCGCGGUAAUACGGAGGGUGCGAGCGUUAAUCGGAAUUACUGGGCGUAAAGCGCUCGUAGGCGGUAUGUCAAGUCAAGGGUGAAAUCCCCGCGCUCAACGUGGGAACUGCCUUUGAAACUGGCAAACUGGAGUGGGUGAGAGGAUA
rnacentral:rRNA from 1 species